AAGUCGUAACAAGGUUUCCGUAGGUGAACCUGCGGAAGGAUCAUUAUUGAUGUUACCAUCUAUAAACCACUGUGAACCACCGGGGAAACCCGCCUUUACAUACACACCAUUAAAAGUUAAAGUACAAAAAGCGUAAAAGCUUAAUAAAGUUAAUACAACUUUCAACAACGGAUCUCUUGGCUCUC
rnacentral:misc_RNA from 1 species